rnacentral:rRNA from 1 species
UACGUAGGGGGCAAGCGUUGUCCGGAUUCAUUGGGCGUAAAGGGUGCGUAGGUGGCGCUGUAGGUCGGGUGUGAAAUUUCGGAGCUUAACUCCGAAACUGCAUUCGAUACUGCGGUGCUUGAGGACUGGAGAGGAGACUGGAAUUCAUGGUGUAGCAGUGAAAUGCGUAGAGAUCAUGAGGAAGACCAGUGGCGAAGGCAGCUCGCUGGAACGGUACUGACGCUGAGGCGCGAAAGCGUGGGGAGCGAACAGG